AAAUUUCCACUGAUCGUUUGAAUUGUAUCAUCCGUUAUUUUGGUUAAAAUGAAUUCCGACCGUUCGGUCGUGCCGUAACCAUGUUGGAAAUCAAAAAGAGGUAAAAUAAUAAUAAUAAUCCAAAAAUAUUUUUUAGUAAAAUGAAGCACAAAAAAUCAAUCGGACGUUUUCUCUUUGGGAUUUUUCAUUCUUAAUUGAAUUGACUAAUAACUAAAGCGAAACUAAGGCUAAAGUCAAUUCGCCAAGUCAAGCUCGUCCACCAAAAAGUCACUAAAAAAGGGAUUUUGAAAGUUUAUCAUUUCAGUUUCUUACCAAGUAAAAUGGAUCAUUUUUAAGGUCCAACGCCUUAAAAUGAUCACCCUUCAAGUAAAAGAAUCACUUGAUUCACGCAUAAGAAAGAACUACGUAAGUCUGAUUUCCUCAACAAAGGAGGGUACAUAGGAGCAAAAGUCCCGCUUUUGUCGACCUCAAAAAAUAAAAAGAAAUAAAAGUUAAGGUAACACAAUUUCCACGAUUCUAAAAAAUAGGUUGUUGUCCUUUGAGACAAACGUGAGAGGUGCUAAUACCUUCCUCAAACGUAAAUACAACUCCCGAACUUAGAAUUUUCAUUUUGACCGGUUUCCUUCGGUUUUCCCGACGUUUUCCACAAAUAAACGUUGGUGGCGACUCCGCGCAUCUUUCCUCCUUUGGAAAGCGCACCCAUGAGCCUCGCCCUCGCUCGCCCGCGAAGGGCACGUUGCGACACAUGUGUACAUUCAUAAUGCGCUUAACCAUCUAUUCAAAAUAUACACGUUUUAUUUGAAGGGUAUUUGUCUCUUGCUACCUAUUCUAUAUGUACAUGGUGAAUAACAUUCUCAAACAAACUAGGCAAACAUCAUGGUGCAGCCCCAAAAAUCAGCCGCUUGCCUAAAGGGAAAUCCCUAUCACAAUGCCUUCGUUUUUAUGCCUUCUUGCUCUCAAAACCAAAGGCUUGGAUUCCUAGGUCUAAGUGCUUAAUUUGGGCCCUUAUUUUAAUCUCUACAUGCUGUCCCUAUACACAUAAAACAGCCCCACAAUCCAAAGUUCACAAAACCAUGCCCAAAUGUCAUUGAGGCAUUUCACCGAGCACUUGGUGGGUGCAUGUUUAGGCAUGAAUAGCAAGGGAAUGGGGGCAAUGUGGCAUGCCCAAUCUUUUCAGAAUACAACUUAGGCCUAAGGCCACUACCUACAACCCUCCAACUCAACAAAAACAAGCAACAAUUCAAGGAUAAAUCCCUCACAUUUUUUAGCAAAUACAUGCAACUUAGAGCACCAAAAUACAUCAAUGGAAAGCUAGAGAGCCCAAGAAUGAGGUACUUACCUGUUGCAGAUGAAUAAUAGCGCAAAAUGGAAUCAAAAACAUGGAGAAAUGGUGACCUAAGGUUGGAAAACCAAGGAAUCUCGUGAGCCUUCGUUUUUUUAAUGAGGGGGGGAGAGUUUUUGGGUGAAGAAAACUUCCCCCUCCCCCUUUUUAACCAUUUUCGUGUAGGGGGUGCUCACCCAGGCGAGCUAACCUGCAUUUUUUUUUCUUUAGGGAAGACAUAAGUAUGGCUCUCUACGGGUCGGCGUUCGCUUACUCGAACCCCCGUAAGGGUAGAUGAGACAUCCGAUACUUACCUUAAAGACACCUUAACAAUAAUUACUGGGAGUUUAAAGGAUACUAGGUUGUCCCUCAGCUACGCUUCCCGCUUGUCCAGUGUUGGGCAUGUGGUGACGAUCUAUCGAUUGUGAUCCUAGCCUUUACUUGCGUCCGUCCCUAAGUACCUGAAAGUAGGAAACGACAUUGCGCAGCAAACCGUGGCCGCGCUACCGUUUUACCUUGAUUGGUUUCUGCCUUUAGCCCCAUCCCAGCAUUUGACCACUGCCUAAGACGAUUCUGCUCUUGUCAUAAGAUAACAAAAUAUGCAUGCGUAUGCGUAUGCAUGAGCGUUUUCAAAUGCAAUAAUCCUUUUUGAGAAAGCUGAUCAGAUUUAGUUUUAGUUAAGCGCUUGGGGCAUCCCAUGGAUUGAGCGAAAAGGUUCAUAGUUAUAAAAAACUACACAUGGUUUAAAGCACAAAGUGAGGACUGAAGCCUCAAUCCCAUAUUUUCUCCUUUUAAAAGAUUGUGACGAGAAAAUUACAGCGGACAGGAAUCCCCUAGGGGAAACCAAGAAGAACACACACAAAUAAAAGAACAUGCAACGACUUCCUCAAUUGCCCCAGAUCCUAAGCGUAGUAUCGCUUGACAACAUCGGAGUUCACGAGUGAAGGUAGCUCCUCGCCAUCCAUGUUGGUGAGCACCAGAGCCCCUCUGGAAAAAGCACUUUUCACAACGAAAGGCCCUUCGUAGUUUGGGGCCCACUUCCCUCGAUUAUCUUUAACAGCGUGGGACAUCUUUUUCAGCACAAGGUCGCCCUCAUGGAACUUGCGCGAGCGCGCCUUCUUGUCGAACGCGUUCUUCAUUCUUUGUUGAUACACGCGAUCAUGGCUCAUGGCCGUCAAGCGCUUACCUUCAAUAAGGUUGAGUUGGACAUAGCGUGUUUGAGCCCACUCUGAUUCUUCUAGGCCUGAUUCCACUAGUAUCCUCUGGGAAGGGACCUCUACCUCAAACGGGAGUACCGCUUCCAUUCCAUAAACCAAGGAGUACAGUGUUGCCCCAAUAGAAGUUCGUACCGAAGUUCGGUAUCCAUGCAGGGCAAAAGGCAACAUCUCAUGCCAAUCUCUGUACGACAUUGUCAUCUUCUGAAUAAUUUUCUUAAUAUUCUUAUUGGCUGCUUCCACAGCUCCGUUCAUCUUUGGUCGGUAGGGCGUGGAAUUGUGAUGCUGGAUUUUGAAAUCCAUGCACAUUUCCUGCAUCAUUUUGUUAUUCAGAUUGGUGCCAUUGUCAGUAAUGAUCUUCCUAGGGAGUCCGUACCAGAAAAUCAGCUCCCUCUUUAUGAAUCUGACCACCACACUCCUUGUGACAUUGGUGUAGGAAGCCGCUUCGACCCAUUUGGUGAAAUAAUCUAUUGCCACAAGAAUGAAGCAAUGACCGUUCGAAGCCUUGGGUUCGAUGGCCCCUAUGACGUCUAUCCCCCACAUGGAAAAAGGCCAAGCGGCGGACAUGACAUUUAGAGGAUGUGGCAGAACAUUGACAUUGUCCGCGAACGCUUGACAUUUAUGGCAUUUCCUUACAUGGGUGCAGCAAUCACUUUCCAUGGUGAGCCAGUAAUAACCUGCUCUAAGGAUCUUCCGGGCCAUAGCAUGCCCAUUGGCGUGCAUUCCAAACGAACCCUUGUGGACUUCCUCGAUCAUGUGGUUCACCUCUUUGGCAUCCACGCAUCGCAGGAGGGUCAUGUCAUGGUUUCUCUUAUAUAGUAUGCUCCCGCUCAUGAAGAAACAGGCUACCAAUCUCCUCAAUAUCCUUUUGUCGUUGUCGGAAGCCUCUGGUGGGUACUUUUUGCUUUCGACGUAUCACUUGAUAUCGAAAUACCAAGGCUUACCGUCCCGCUCCUCUUCCACCUGACAACAAUGCGCGGGUCUGCCACGACACCAGAACUCAAUGUACGGUAAGUCCCCGUGCGGUGUUAGCUGGAACAUGGACGCCAAAGUGGCAAGCGCAUCCGCCAUCUGGUUUUCCUCUCGGGGAACGUGAUGGAAGGAGAUCUCAUCAAAGGAACCAGCCAACUCCUUGAUAUAGGCUUGGUAGGGUAUCAACUUGGGGUCUCUAGUUUCCCAUUCCCCUUUCAGUUGGUGGAUCACCAGUGCUGAGUCCCCGUACAUCUUGAGUAGCUUGACAUUGGAGUCAAUUGCCGCCUGGACGGCCAGGGCACACACUUCAUACUCAGCCAUAUUGUUGGUGCAGUCAAACCCCAGCCUGGCUAUGAAAGGUAUACAUUGAUUGUCUGGAGAGACCAAUACUGCUCCAAUGCCAUGACCUAGAACGUUUGACGCUCCAUCAAACCACACGGUCCACUUGCCCUGGUCCUCGUCUAACUUUUCCUCAAACAAGGCCAUGAUGUCCUCAUCCGGGAAUUCGGGAUGCAUGGGCUGAUAGUCGUUAAGAGGCUGUUGAGCCAAAUAAUCUGCCAAGGCGCUUCCUUUUAUCACCUUUUGGGUGACGUAGACUAUAUCGAACUUGGAUAGCAAAACUUGCCACCGGGCGAUUCGUCCUGUGAGAACAGGCUUCUCAAAGAUGUACUUAACUGGGUCCAUCUUGGAUAUCAACCAGGUGGUAUGGCUCAACAUGUAUUGUCUUAGACGGUGGGACGCCCAGACUAAGGCACAACACGUUCUUUUGAACAAGGAGUAAUUCAUCUCACAGGCCGUGAACUUCUUACUCAAGUAGUAGACAACGCGCUCUCUCUUCCCGGACUCGUCAUGUUGCCCCAGCAUACAUCCCAUCGACUCGUCCAAAAUCAUCAUAUACAAGAUGAGAGGCCUUCCAGGUACCAGCGGUAUAAGCACGGGAGGAUUUAUGAGACACUUCUUGAUCCUUCCAAAUGCCUCUUGACAAUCCUCGUUCCAGCGAACGGAUUGGUUUUUGCGUAAGAGUUUGAACAAUGGCUCACAGAUAGCGGUGAGCUGUGAUAUGAAUCUGGCAAUAUAAUUCAAACGUCCCAGGAAACUUUGGACCUGCCUCUCAGUACGGGGUUUCGGCAUCUCAAGGAUGGCUUUCACCUUUUCGGGGUCCACCUCUAUCCCUUUCUGGCUCACAAUGAAACCUAGAAAUUUCCCUGAUUUGACCCCGAAGUUGCACUUAGCGGGGUUUAACCUCAAUUGAUAUUUCCUAAGCCUUUCGAACAACUUCCGCAGGUUGACAAGGUGUUCCUCCUCGGUUUUAGACUUGGCAAUUAUGUCGUCCACAUAGACCUCAAUUUCUCGGUGCAUCAUAUCAUGGAACAAAGCCACCAUAGCCCGCUGAUAAGUUUCCCCAACGUUCUUGAGUCCAAAGGACAUCACCUUAUAUUAGAAUGUCCCUCACAGGGUGACAAAAGUAAUCUUUUCCAUAUCCUCCGGCGCCAUUUUUAUCUGAUUGUAACCGAAGAACCCAUCCAUGAAAGAAAACAAAGCGAAAUUGGUCGUAUUAUCCAUGAGGAUAUCGAUGUGCGGCAGAGGGAAAUUGUCUUUGGGACUGGCUCGAUUCAGGUCCCGAUAAUCCACACACAUCUGCACCUUCCCAUCCUUCUUCGGGACUGGUACAUUGUUGGCAACCCAUUCGGGGUACCGAGCGACAGCCAAAAAACCAGCGUCAAAUUGUCUCUUUACCUCUUCUUUUAUUUUCAAGGAUGUCUCGGGCUUCAUCCUCCUCAGUUUUUGUUUCACCGGGGAAUACUCAGGAUUUAGAGGUAAUCUGUGUUGUACGAUGUCAGAACUCAAACCGGGCAUAUCUUGGUACAACCAAGCAAAGAUGUCUUGGUAGUCUUUUAGCAGGGCUGUCAAUUCUUCGUGGAUGGGUGUGUUCAUACCCGUGCCUAUCUUUACUUCUUUUUUCCCACUGCCGGUUCCUAAGUCCACUAGUUUCGUCUCUUCUUGAUGAGGCCCCAUUUCUUGGUCCUCAUGAGCGACUAUCUUCUUCAACUCCGGGGGAAGUCCCACAUCUUCGUCCUCUUCAUCCUCUGUCUGAUCCGUUUCUUGCUUAUAAUCGAUGGUCGGGUCUCAGGUAUUAGUACCUUCGAGGGACUCAUCGUCGGAUCUGGCAUUUUAAACAUAAAUAAAUAAACAUGCAAAUGAAUGAGAAUGGGUAGAGACGUAGGAACAGAUGAAGAAAGAUCUGUAUAUUUUAAAUUCAGGAAUAAAAGACAUAAAGCCUUAACAAAAGGAAACUCUAAAGCCUAGCCCAACCGUAGAGUUUAAAAGCCACAAAGGGUUACAUUAUACUUGUCAUGUAAAUGUCCGGGCGCUCCUCCACUCGCCAAUUUCCUAGUCGGAAACCAGGAGGGCAUGGUCGUACCAAAUCCGACCCACUCGGAGAAUCAUCUUCGCAUAUCGCAACGACUUGGCCUUUGUGUCCUAGACCCGCGCUUAUAAAGCUCCUACUGAUGUGGUAGGGCGGGCCCCCUUUGACUUCUCGUCCCAAUCGCAAGCCUUGACUUCCGCUCUUUCUUCCCGCAACUCUUUUCCUUAUGUCUGCUUGUGUGGGUUUAUAGUCUAACCUAAACUUCUCACAGUUUCCUCUAGCACUUAUCAGGCUGGUUCUGCCGCCGUUGUUCUUGCCUAAACCCAUUCCGGGCUCGUAACCAUUCCCCAACAUCACCCGGGCCACCAUUACUCUCGUAUCGAACAAGCAGGGUUGCCCAGAGAAAGAAUCUAAGGAGGCAAUGCUUACUACCUCAAAAGACUGGAAGGUUGUUUCUAAUGACUCCUCCGCGGCUUCCACAUAUGGCUUAGAGGACGGGCAACUCACCAAGAUGUCUUCCUCGCCCGACACGAUAACCAAAUGCCCUUCUACUACGAAUUUCAAUUUUUGGUGGAGUGUAGAGGGAACGACUCCCACCGAGUGGAUCCACGGGCGUCCCAAAAGACAACUGUAAGCCGGGUUAAUAUCCAUUAUUUGAAAGGUAACCUGACAGGUAUAGGGGCCUAUCUGUACAGGGAGGUCGAUCUCUCCCCUAACCUCUCGGCGGGUUCCGUCAAAGGCAUGGACCACCAUGGAACUUGGCUUUAGAUGGGAAGCAUUAAACUGUAAUUUCUCCAACGUGCUUUUGGGCAUUAGAUUUAAACUAGAACCGUUAUUGAUGAGCACCUUGGUCAUGACGUGGUCCAUGCAUUUGACUGAUACAUGCAAAGCCCUGUUAUGCCCUCUCCCCUCGGCAGGGACUUCUUCUUCGGCGAAGGCGAGAUAGUUGUUGGCAGUGAUAUUAUUGACGAGUCUUCCAAAGCCUUCUACAGAGAUAUCUUGGGCCACAUGAGCUUCAUUCAAGACCUUUACUAGCAAAGCCCGAUGAGGCUCAGAGCUCAUGAGAAGUUCCAAAAGAGAGACAGUGGCUGGGGUUUCGUUGAGUUGCUCAAUGACCUUGAACUCGCUUUGCUGAAUAAUGUGGAGGAACUCGCUUGCUUCCUCUAGCGACACUUCCUUCUUGCCAUAGCCAUCCCUUUUCUCCGGAAGACCUUUCACUAGAAUAUCCUCGUUCGGAGUGGGGGUCGUUUUGUCAUUUUGUUCUUCCACCAUCUUUGCCUUCCCUUUAACAUUUGCGGGUUGUGUCGGCAGGUCGGGGGGUGCAAACAUGCGACCGCUGCGGGUCACGCCGCUCAGCCCCGUGAUAUUGGUUACCUUGGCUGACAACGAACUGAUGUCGGUGGCCUCUUCCUUCCUUUCACUUGGAGGUGAAUACCUCCAUGGGACUACGUGGCUGUUUCGGUAUGGGAAAGGAAUAGGUUUAACUACCGAGGGGUAUCGAGGCUUUUGAGGAGCUGCGUCUUUGGUGAAAUAUACCACCAAAGGCUUAGGCCUUCCAAAACUUCUCUCAUCCGCGAACUGCAUACAUAUAUGUUGUUCUUCCCUCCCCUCAUCGCUGACUUCCGGUCAGCCUUGAUCUAUCAUCUGUUGCAAAAGGUCCUCCACUGCUAAACAUGUUUCCAUGUUAUGUAGCUCGUCGGGAUGCAACAAACAAGAAUCCUUUUCAUGCCCACCGUGGGGAAUUGCGCCCCCCUUUUGUAGAGCCUCGUAGAUAAACCUCCUGGGGGUCGUCACGUCCUUUAAAGGCUUAGACCUGCGUGGCCUACCCGACUCGACGGCAUUAACUGCUCCCCCUCCAUGAUUGGCGAGCGGGUUUGUUUUCACAUUGGGCCGAUCCUCUUGAAACGUUAGCCAUCGGCGUCCAUCAAAUGUUGGACCUUGUAUUUAAGGGCCAAGCAUUUUUCGGUGGAGUGGCCCGGGGUUUUCCCAUGGUACGCGCAAGUUGCGUCAGGGUCAUACCACUUUGGGAAAGAAGGUUGGUAGAUCUUCCCGAGAGAUAUCACAGCCAUCGGGUUGCCGAUGAGGGACGACAAGAGAUCUUCGUACGUCAUUGGGAUUGGGGUGAAUUCUAGAAUUGGCCUCGGGGGAAAGUUUCUCAUCGCGUUGGAACCGGCACCAAAGUGGGCAUUGUCGGUCGGGCAAGUCGUAGUUGGAGUCGGAGCUUGGGGGGCCUCCCUCUGGAUGGGGGUGGGCGCUCUAGGUUGUACGGGUGCUGAAUUGGAGGAGCUCCCAGCGCGAGCUGAGAAGCUCAGAUGAUGUUGCGCGUACUAAUGGGUACCAUGAGAGGUCUGCGGUGGCUUGACCCAUGCGGGCACCAAAGUGACGGCAUGGGUAUCUCCUUCCUUCCUAUUUGCCCCAGUUGAUCCGAUCCUCCUAGCAUUGGUACUUGUGGAGGAGACGUAAUCAAACUUCCCUCUCUUCAAUCCUACUUCAAUUCUCUCCCUGGCAAAUACCAAGUCCGCGAAGCUGGAGGGCACAUAGCCUACCAACUUCUCAUAGUAAAACACCGAUAAGGUGUCUACCAUCAUGGUAAUGAUCUCCCUCUCGACCAUGGGAGGGGUCACUUGUGCUGCCAGGUCUCUCCACCGCUGUGCGUACUCUUUAAAGGUCUCACUUUCCUUCUUAACCAUGUUCUGCAGCUGAGUGCGAUCGGGAGCCAUAUCGGAAUUGUACUGAUAUUGCCUAAGGAAGGCAAUAAUCAGAUCCUUCCAAGUACAAACGCGGGAAGCUUCCAGAUUAGUGUAUCAAAUGACUGCGGCUCCAGCCAAGCUAUCUUGGAAAAAGUGCAUUAACAAUUUUUCAUCCCUAGAAUGCGCCCCCAUCUUGCAACAAUACAUCUUGAGAUGGUUCUUAGGACAAGUCAUCCCUUUGUACUUGUCGAAAUCAGGUACCUUGAAUUUUGGGGGGAUGACGACAUCCGGUACCAAGCAAAGAUCCGCCAUGUCUGCAAACGGAUAGUCGCCAAAGCCUUCAACAGCUCUCAAUCUCUCCUCGAUGAGAUUGAGUUUCCUUCUUUCUUCCGCCGCCAAGGGUGGUCCCUCUGUGGACAAGAAUAUUGGUUGUGCUGUGGGGUUGUGCUGAGGCAAUACAUUGGGUGCCACCCCUCGACGGGGACCAGGGGGUAGAAAUCGACAUCCCCUUGGGCAUACUCUCGAUGAUCCUCGUGAACCUCGGCGGCCUGUCGAGGAGGCUCCCCUUCAAGGAUGGGGGAAAGGACAUGACCCGCGUCAUCACGCAUGACUGGUGGCGUGUAAUUAGGUGGUAAUCCAUAAGGGUAAGCCACCCGGUUGUAUCCCAAAUGGGGGUUGCUGGUGUGCCCCAGUGUGCUCCUUUCUCGUCCUACCGCAUUUGGGAGAGGAUGGUGCGCGGUAACCGGGAGAGUUGGGUCUGCUUCGACAGCCGAACUAACAGCGGCAGCAGUGGCCACGUUUUUCUCCAUGAGUUGUCUCAUUCCUAACAUGGCCUCCAUCAUGGAAACCAUUUGCUCUUUCAAAGCCGACAUGUCAGCUUUCAUCUGUUCCUGUGUCUCCUCUUGAUCACCCAUCAUUAUAGAUUUGGAUCUGGUGCAAUAGGGAUGCCUUGGGGCGCGUUUAGUUAUGGUUUUUUUCCUAAAAAAACCAAACGUGAGGAGUAGGUAAAAAAUGAAUGCAUGCUAGAGAUAAAAUGCGGGAGUGAUUUGAUUCGCACCGAUCUUUGGAGUAAAAACAUGGGAUAAACUCAUUUUAUUAAGAAAGUUUAUAACUAGUCAAGAUCUGAGCGACAAUACAAACUUCCUAGCGGUUUCUAAUUAUAUGGGCCAUUAAAUCUAUCAUAUGCUGACAAUAGCCAAGGAGUCCGUGGAUCUCCUCGGGGGUGGAGUAGGUGUCCGCCAUUGCUUUGGCCUUGGCUAGCAAUCGGGGAAGCUCUUGACUCCCGUUCAAGGUAAGAGCAAAUCGGUCCAUCCACAUUGUUGCCUCUUGAUGUAACGCGUCGAUCACCCUUCCUCUAGCCUCCUUUUCCGCGUACACUUGGGCAUACUCGUCCGCCACUUUGUGCUCGUGGGCCGUGGCUAGAUUUAGUUCUUCUUGGUACUUGCUGACGAUAGCUAACAUGUUGGUCUCUGUCUCGCAUAAACGCUGAGACAAGUUUCUUUUGGACCUUGAGCAAGCAGCCAACUCCUCUUUCAAGAUCAAGCUAUGUGCUCGUGAUUGGUCUCUCUCUUCCCUUCGAAGCUUGAGCUCACUGUUGCUGCCCCACAAAGCUCCACGAAAUUUUUCACGGCCAUGCUCUUCCUUGCGAGCCCUCUUGGUUUCUUGUUCAAGGGCUCUUGCGGUAGCUGCAUUUUCUUCUCGUAACUCGACACACUCUUUUCGGACGUCUGUAGCGACCAACUUGAAUUUUUCUUUGGCAAGUCUUGCUUUUCCUAGUUCUAUUUUUAGAGCUCGGACUUCUUCAUCCUCUUUCGGAGCUUCGAAGUUCACUUCGUUGAUAAUCUUUAACUUGGAGAGCCAAUCUAACCCUCGUGUACGAACUUUCAACCAUUCAUGAUAACCACUGAUGAUGCCAUUGCAAAUGCCCCUAAGUUCUUUAUCUUUCCUUAACGGGCUUUCCCACGCCUUAUGGACUCUUUGUAUAACCUUGAAACUUUGCACGCCGAAAUCUCUCACAAGGAAAUGAGACAGGCUUUCUUCCGUCGGUGCUCCCCUCAUGGGGUACCCUAACUGUCUUAUAGCAAGUGCAGGAUUGUAGUUAAUGCAACCCCUCAUUCCUAUCAACGGGAUGUUUGGGUAGUCCCCACAUGAGAAGAGAACUUCCUCAUUUCCUUCCUUCCAUCGUGGAAACCAGUUGAUUGUUCUGCCUCCUAUCCCAGCCAAGUGUUGGUCCCAAUCUACUCUUCUCUUUUCGACACACGGGCGAUGGCUUCGGAGCGGACAUGGGUGCCUUAUGUCUUGUUGAAAUAGGUGUGAAACCAACCAUACACAAAGAGCGGGUAAACAGCAGAUGAUCCGUGCGCUACUCUUCUCGCACCUUCGGUCAAAUGUGUCAAAUAAGUCCACCAAGAUAGCCACUACCAGGCUUUCUUUGCUAUGGUGAUAUGCAAGGAAAGCAUAAAUUGCGGCUAGGUCCACCAAAACAUCCAUGUUUGGAAAAAGGACAACCCCAAAGAUUAGCAAUGCUAAUACGUCCAUAAACAGGACCCACUCCUCUUGAUUCGCCAUAUCCCUUGCCUUGCCUUCUAAGUACUUCCGUGGUAGGCCCACUACGCCGUUUAGAGUUUUCUUUACACGAUCCAAUCCUCUCGCCGAAUUCCUGACCACAACUGCAAUCUUGCUCAAGGAGGGAAGAAACCCGGAGAAAAGAUACGGUUUCCUUCCCCCAAGAGGACAUCCUAGAAUCUCCAUAAAUUCUUCAACAGUCGGUACUAAUUGGAAGUCUCUAAACGUGAAGCAUCUCAAAGGCUGGUCAUAGUAUUGGGUGAGUGAUAUAACGGCUUCUGUGGAUAUCUCUACUAUGGUCAAAUCUAAAAUCUUUCCGUACGCCUUGCGGAAGGCUUGCAUUUGGAGAGGUCCCAUCAACCGCCCCAACUCCUUAAUGCUGGUGAUAUCUAGGCCCUUAAUCUUGACUUGAUAAAACAUUUUUCCAGUUUGAUUUGUUCCCAUGUUUUACUAAAGUGAAACAAAAACCGAGUGCGAAUCAAAACUCCGACAUCUAUCAUGGGUGGAAUGGAUGAAUGCAUGAAGAAAUGCAUAUGACACAGAUGCAAUUUAUGAAUACAGGAGCUCGGGAAAUUGUCUCCUUCUUAGAUACAACGUCUUGGGGUAGCACGAUGCCUGACAUAUGUAUUUAAGAAGGUGACACGGACCCUCCGUUGGUUUGCCCAAAAGAGGGGAUCAAGACGAAACUCGUGCAUGAUGCAUAUGCGAAAGGCACAACACGGGGAUGUACAUAGUAUGACAAUAUUCACAAACAAAUAUAAGCAAAGGGGUACAUGACACUUUGGAUUACAUGCAUGGCAGUGUGAAAAAGUGGCACGCAGCGUGUUUGCUCCGUGCCCCUAUUUUAGGGACCUACAUGGGAGAAGGCUAAAAGGGCUUUUUAGUGAUAAUUCCCAAGGUGGUCAUAUCUCUCUUGAUGGUCUCUAGAGGUAUCAUCCCCUUCGAAGAACAUAUUGCAGCAGUAGGGACUACUAGCAACAAUAUGUUAUCAAAGAGAAAAACUCUAGAUGAGGGUUCGCUGUAAUCAAGCAAGUCGGAGACCUAGCAUGAUCACAGAUUCGCCUCUACUCCUUAUGUUCCCACGAACCUAGGUAUAGGGCCCUUUUUCAACUCACCGUGUGUGCAAAUAGUGUUGGUGUUUGUGUGCAUCAAAUGAAUAAAUAUUUAUCUUACACAUACAUUAAAAAAUACACUAAAGGCAUCCAAGACUUAUAUACAAGAACACAAGAGAAAUAAAGGGAAACCAACAAGGGAGAAAGUCAUGAUAAAACAUUGCACAAGAUUAAAUGGCCUAACUCUCUAAAAAUAGUCCCCAGUGGAGUUGUCAACUAUCGCAACCUACCCUUCGACGGGAGGGCGACAUGGGGCUCACGGGUGCGUCUUCCAAGAAAGGAAUGCACGCGGAGUCGCCACCAACGUUUAUUCGAGGAAAACAUCGGAAAAACCGGAAAAGGCGUGGUCUACGAACUUUAAGUGAAAGGUUCGGGAGUUGUAUUUACGCACGGAGAAGGUAUUAGCACCCCACACAUUCGUCACAAGGGACGACAGCCUUUAAUCAAAUGUGCAAACAUGACUUCAAUUUGUGUUAUCUUUCCUUUUUUACAUUCUUAUGUCUUUUAUAUUUUUUAUCUUUAUGUGGUCGACAAGGGUAUUUCCCUUGCUCCUACGUAUUCCUCAAUCGUGAUAAGGAAAUCAUACCUGCGUAGUUCUUUGAGAACUAAACGUUGGUUAAAUUGUUUUUAUCCUUUUUUGCAAGAUAUAUUUUUAUUGAAUGAAAGGUCACUUAAGGCGUUGGACCAUUAAACGAUCUAUCGAUUCUUUUUUAAAGGAGAGAAAAUAUUAAGGCAUUGGAUCAUUAAUGAUCUCAUGUUUUUUUGAAAGAGGUGACAAAGCUAUGUGUUGAUUUUAGGCUUUAGAAAUCCACGUUUAACCAAUAAAAGCGGAAAAGACCAUUUCAAGGCGUUGGACCUUAAAAAUGGCUUUUUAGGUGAUGACAAAAGUUUGAUUUAUGGAUUGAUUUGAGCCUUAGUUUCACUUUGGUUAUUAGUCAAUUCGAUUAAGAAAGGAAAAUCCCAAAGAAAAAUGUCUGAUUGAUUUUUUUUUAUUAUUUUACUAAAAGAUAUUUUUUGAUUAUUAUAUUAUUAACGUGGUUACGGCAUGACCGAACGGUCAGAUUUCAUUUUAACAGAAAUUAAAAGAUGUUACAAUACGAAUGAUCGGUGGAAAUUUAUUUUAUUUUUUAUUAAGCGAGAAAAUGACUUAAAUAAAUUACUAGAGCACGUCAAAAGGGGGUACGGAAAGUAAAUGAAAUGAAAAUAAAAGCGUGCGAAACAAGUGGGGACCACUAAGGGUACAUAGAAUGAAUUGAAAAGUUCGAUUUCGAGAACUUACCGGUUGAAGACCGAAGAACGACGAAGAACGAACGAAGAACGACGAAGAACGGUGGAAAAUCCUCGCGAAAUCGCCCACGGAAAUGUCUCGGAAGCGUUACAGAAGCGCCUCGGCUUGGAUUUUCUUCACGGAAACAAUUUUUCUCACUAAUUUUAAGUGAUUCUCAGAUACUAGGAGUGUUGAACAUUUUUGUUCUGCCCUCCUCCCCCUAUUUAUAGGAAAAAGAGGAAGGAGUUUGCCACCCAGUUCGCCCAGGCGAGCUAGGUUGCUUCCUCCAGAAGGCACCGCCUUCUGGGGGAACUUCCUGGAAGGCCCAAGUGGGCCUGAUUGCUAUUUGUACCCCCUGUUUACUAAAUACACCCCUGCCCUUUUUUGCUGAUUCUUUUUCCGUAACGUUACGGAACUUUACGAAUUUCGUAAUGAUACUUGUUUUCUUUCCGUAAUGUCACGGAACCUUACGGAUUACGUAAUCAUCCCUUUUUUGGCUUCCGGAAUGUUACGGAACUUCACGAAUUGUGCAACAAUGCUUCCUUUUGACUUCCGGCAUGUUAAGGAACCUCACGGAUUGUGCAACAAUCCUUCCUUUUAACUUCCGGCAUGUUACGGAACUUCACGGAUUGUCUAACGAUGGGUGCCAAGUACCUUGAAGUGGUCAAACGAGGGUCGCAUCCCAACAAACGGAUGGUCCCUGGACGAAAUUAGGGUAUAAAAGGCGACAAUGACCCUCAUCCACAUUUCGAAGACGAAAAUGUCUUCAGUCAUUGCAUGCCUUCAAAAUGCGACAAUGACCCUCAUCCACAUUUCGAAGACAAAAAUGUCUUCAAUCAUUGCAUGCCUUCAAAGGCGACGAUGUCCUCAUCUGCAUUUUGAAGACGACAAUGUCUUCACCUCGGAAAAAAAAAGAAAAGAAAAAAGAUAUAUAUAUAUAUAUAUAUAUAUAUAUAUAUAUAUAUAUAUAUAUAUAUAUAUAUAUAUAUAUCUAUAAAGAAAAAUAAUAAUAAUAAUAAUAAUAAUAAUAAUAAUAAUAAUAAUAAUAAUAAUAAUAAUGGAAAAAAGAAGAACAAAACGCGAAAAUGAGGAAUCUUAGUGUCUUCAUGCUUCCACGGGUUUUUCUACUAGGACUUCCGCUAAUGGCCGGUUGGAUGAUUCAACUCGAAUGGAAUUAGUGCCUUAUCUUUACUUCCAUUUUAUCUCCAAUAAAAGAUAAGUAAAGAGGGGUCACUAUCAUACCCUAAUUUCGUCUGAGGACCAUUGUUUGUCGGUAUGUAGACCUUGUUUGACUACUUCAAAACAUUACACCCCCAUCGUCGUGGAAUCCAUAAAGUUCCAGGAUGUUUCGGAAAGAAACCUGCCAAAUACACGAAAAUGUGGGUGUAUUUAGCAAAGUAGAGAGGGUGUAAACGGACUAUCAAGCCCAAAUUUUUUCCGGAGACAAUUGUUUGUUGGCAUACGGACAUCAAUCGAUCACUUCAGAAAGCUUAACGCCCAUCACCAUUGAAUCCGUAAAGUUCUGCGACGUUUCAGAAAGAAAUCGACAGAAAAACACAAAAGGAGUGUAUUAGGUAAAAAACGGGGGAGUAAAUAGCAAUUUUUAAAUCUAGACCCUUCCAGAACAUUUUUGAAGUUGGGUUGCUUAUGGUGGAAGCAACCAAACUCGCCUGGGUGAGCUAAGCUUGCCUAGGCGAGCUAGGCGGCAACCUCCUCCCCCGUUUUGUUGAAAAAUGGCUUCUGGGGCUUCCGUAAUGCUUCCGUAAAAUUUUUGAAAACUCUGGGUAAGCAUAUUUCACUUAGGAUUGGUAAAAGGGAAGAGAAAAAAGAGGAAAAUAAAGUUCAAAAUGCUUCCAUAACUUUUCCGUAAAGUACGAAAGGGGGGUGAACUUAGUAAUUUGGGGGUGCAUCCGGAAACUUCCUAAGGAAGCCUGGGGCAAGCUGGGCGGCAAGCUCCUCCCCAUUUUGGCUAGUUAAAGGACAAAUGGGUUGUUUCAAAGGGAUUCCUAACCCGUAUGUUAUGCAUUUCAGCUGUUUAGGGUGAAAAAACGUGUUUCCAUGAAGAAAAUCCAAGUCGAGGUGCCUCCGUAACGCUUCCAAGAUGUUUCCGUGGGUGAUUCCGUGAAGAUUUUUCGUCGUUCUUUAUCAUUCUUCAUCCGUUCUUCGGUCUUCAACCAGUAAGUGUUCGAAUCUGAGGCUUUCAAUUCAUUUCUUGUUUUGUUUGCUUUCAUCUUCAUCUUGUUCACUUUUGGUUUUCUUUUCUUCCGCUUUAACGAGCUUUUUACCGUUUAUUUAAGCCGUUACCUCACCUGCUAAUUGAUAAAAUGAAUUUCAACCAAUCAUUUGUGUUAUAAUCUCGUUUAAUCACUGUUAAAGUAAAAUCUAACCGAUCGUUCACACUGUAACCUUGGUUAAACAAAAAAAAGGCAAAAUAAUAAUAAAAUAAUCAAAAAAAAUCAUUCAGAUGUUUUUCUUUGAAAGUUUCCUUGAAUGAAUUGACUAAUAACCAAAGUGAAACUAAGGCUAAAAUCAACUCACAAACCAAGUUUUGUCUGCAAAAGUCACUUAAAACCAUUUUAAGGUUCAACGCCUAAAACGAUUAUCUUUGCUUUUAUCGGUUAACAUGGACCGUUCAAGAGCAUAAAAUCAACACAUAACUUUACGCCUUUGCAAGAACUACGUAGGUAUAAGUUCCUCAUCACAAAUUGAGGAUACGUAGGAGCAAAAGCUUCGCUUUUGUCGACCAUCCCUUUUCAAAAAAACAAGAGAUCGUUAAUGGUCCAAUGCCUUAACGUUUCUCUUCUUUAAAAAAACAAGAGAUCGUUAAUGGUUCAAUGUCUUAACGUUUCUCUCCUUUCAAAAGAAUCAAAAGAUCGUUUAAUGGUCCAACGCCUUAAACGACUUUUAUUCGGUUAAAAUCAAUCUUACGACAAAAGAUAAAAACAACUUAACCAACGUUGUAGGUCUGAUUUCCUCAUCGCAAUUAAGGAUACGUAGGAGCGAGGGAAACACCCUUGUCGACCACAAAAAGAUAAAAAAAUACAAAAGGCCCAUAAAAAGCAUAAAAACAUAAAAAAGGAAAAAAAAUACAUAAAAACAUAAAAAAGGGGAAAAUAUGUAGUUUUGAAGUCAUGUUUUGCACACUUGAUUAGAGGUUGUCGUCCCUUGUGACGAACGCGUGAGGUGCUAAUACCUUCCGCGUGCUUAAAACCAACUCCUAAACCUUUCACGAUUAAAGUUUGUAGAUCACACGUUCCGGUUUUUUCGACAUUUUCCUCGAAUAAACGUUGGUGGUGACUCCGCGCGCCUUCCUCUCUUGGAAGACGCACCCGUGAACCCUCGCGUCGCCCUCCCACCGAAGGGUAGGUUGCGACAUAUCCAAACAUGCAAAUUAAAAACAGAACCAGGCACUACAAAAUAUUAUGUUUAAAUUAUUAUUAAGUAAUUACUAUCAAAUAAAAGAAAUACUUUAAUACUUAAAGUAAUGAAAGUUUGAAAUCCAGCUAACUACAUAAUAAUCAAUAAAUAUUUUAAAGAAAGUAACAAUUCCACACACACCAUAGAAAAUAUCAGGCUAAAAUAAUGUAUAUCAUAAUUUCUUCUUUUCAUCCGAGAUUUGUAACAAUAAGACCCUAAUAUUCAACAAAAACAAAGAUAAUAAAUAAACUCCAAUUGCCAUCAUUGCAUGUUAACUAAUAGUAAUCGACAAAUUGCAGACAUUAGCUACAGCUAGUGAACAACUCUCAAAUGCCUAAUCUGACUCAAGCUUCCUACUAUAUAAAGACAACAAUAUGGUUAGAAAACCAAUAAACUAAUUGAUAAUUUGACAUAGACUAAUCUACCUUUUACGUGAUAUUGUUGCAUGAUAAUACCAAAAUAAAUGAAAGUAGAAUUGGAAUACUGCCAAAACAGGGGGGUGGGAGAGGGAAAAGGACAUCUAGAACACGCUGUAAAAAACUGAAGUCAUUAUGUUCCAUAAAUUUACACGAACUCAUUGGAUUAAUUUACAAGCUCCAUUUAAAAGUCUAAUACAAUAAAGUAAAGAAUUACUAAAAUAUUAUCUUAAUAUAUUGAGAUCAAUUUAAUUUGCAAUAAAGAGAAUGAAUUACCCCAAUUCAUAAUUUACAAACGACAUUGCUGCAUAAAAAUACAGCGCCUCCAAAUAAAUUUAAUUAGGGAUUAAACAAAGAAAAAACGACAACUAAGCACCGUUGUUGUGGGAUGAACACGUGAAUACAAAGUUCAAAUUAGUGAUCUAAGAGCUUUCAUAAGCUAAAGUAAUAGGAAAAGACUAUAAUUCAUACAUUAUGCAUGUAAAUUCCAAAAGGAAAACCAACGAGAACUAAUAAUAUGAUUUGAAAAAAUUAAACCUUUUUUAAACAAUCAUUUUCACAAACACCCAAUCUACAAUUGCAGAUCAGGGAGAAUAACAUUACCUUGAGCGGUGGAUCUGCGAUAGAGGAAUCCAUCAUUGGCAAGGUUGAUGGAUUUCAGCAUCGGAACACUGUGUGGCACCACCCUGAACAUGGUGCCAAUGAGUUCGAUCUGAGCCUGCAUUUGGGUCAAGUCGACGGUGGUCUUGAGAUCGAUCAGGGGGAAGUUGGUGAAGACGAUGCCUUUUCCGAUGGCGGUGGGAGGGUGGUGCCAUUGGGGAGCACAACAUUGGAGGCGGAGACCAACAACUCGUCAUGGUCGAACCCAACAAAGACCUCCCACGACUUGAGCUCAACGAGGCCGUUGUUGAGCAUCGUCAUCGUCGACUCGAACCGGUAAGGCUACUUUGUCGAGUUAGAGACAUUCGACGGCAGCCGCGCGCCGUCGGUGUAGGCGUAAGAGACGAGGAUGCCAUUGCAGGAUUGGCGUCGGCGAAUGACGCCGUUCCAUCUUGGUUUGAGUUUGCGCUUUAGUUGGCUACUUUCGAAUUUCAAAAUUUGAACUACGAGAGAGAAACGUAUAACAUUGGCGGUUUACAAUUCCCAAACUACACCUGUUUUGCUUGGUUCACGGAAGUCGGGUUUGGCCACCCCGACUUCCCUAGCUGAUGUUUUUUUAUAAAUUAAAAUAUCAUUAAAAUUAAAUAUUAUAUUAUAUAAAAAUAUUUUAAUUGAUUUUAAAAUUAUUUAUUUAUUAAAUUUAUUUUUGAAGGAUUAUUUUAUAAUUUUUUAAAGAGAAAUAUACAUAUAUAGAAAAAUAUAAAAAUUGGAUAAAAUUAUAGUAUAAUUUUUUAUUUACGUUAUAUGUAAUUUUUUAGUUAAAUUUAUGUUUUGUUGAUUUUUUUGUUAUGUUCUUAUAAUUAAAAAAUAAUAAAAUUAGUUAGUAAUAUUAACAUAAAUUAAAAAAAAUACCGUGAAAAAAUAAUUGAUACAUUUGUCUUAUAAAGUAGACAAAAUUUCAAAUUGUAAUAACUGAGAUGAUAGUCGAUAAUAAUGCAACAUAUUAAAAAUUACAAUUACAACACAAAUAUGACAAAACUAGUGAUGAUCUAGAAUAUGUUGUGCAUGCAGGAUACAUGUCUUCUUCUAUUUGGAUUACUGGUUUGCUAAAAAUAGCCAAAAUUUCUAUUGUGCAGAAUCGUUUCCAAUAGUUGCAUUGUGCUAACACCUUUGGCACAUCUUCGUCAUUUUUCAAUUUUGUUAUCUCAUAUUCAAUUAAAUUUUUUGAAUACUUAGCAUGACCUGGUUGUCGAAAGAACAAUCGUCAAACCAAUUGUGAUUCGUGGGGAACCCCUAUAGGUGCAACUUGCUUGAUUAAAUCCUUGAGUUUGUCCAUGCUACAUCCCAAAGGAAUGCCAAAUCUUAUUAGAUUAGUUCCAGUAAAGGAGUAACCCAAAAACUCACCUUAACGUGGUAUGUUUCACUUCCCGUUGUAAUACAUAAGUGCAUCAUGAGUAGGAGUGAUAGUUGAUUGAAGCCAUCCGAUGUUCUAAUAAUGGUACAUAAUAACUCUAUAGUGCCAACACACGAGUAUUGCUCAUUACACAUUAAUAUUGUAUAAACAUCAUCAUCAUUGGGUUGUUGUAAAAAAUGUUGAACAUUUGUCGAACAUCAGCAUCAUCUCACAGAAUAAAAGAUGUGUACAUAUAACAUUGUCUUGACUCAAAUAUAGGGUAUCAAAAGUGGAGAUGUUGGAUAUGUUGUUGUGGCUCAAUGUUUAGGUUUUGGUGAACAAGUUCAAGCAAUUGUGUAAAGGUUAUGACCUUGUUGACCAUGAAAGUUUUUGUGUUGUUACUAAUGAAGGUGGUGCCCUCAUUAGUAUUGAAAAUUUGGCCGUCGUAGUAAACACAAACAUAUGCAGUUAGGUGACACAUUGUGGAAGGGAUUGAGAUGAAAAUUUGAAAUUGUUACGAAUGUCGUUAGUUGUAGUGGUAUUUAUAGAAUUUGGUUAUAGUUAGGUGAGUCACUAGUUAACUGUGCAUUUAGAUGAACGGGUAAAUGAACACUUAAGCAUAUUUACAAGGGUCCAUAAUGUGCAAAUUGCAGAGUGAAAAAAACAAUCGAGAGAAAAAAAAAAGUGAGUUGUCCACGUCAUGUUAGAUUUACUGGUGUGACAUUAAUUUUUUUAGAGACGUGUGCAAAUUGUCGAGUGUUGUCAAUUUCAACUGUGAUUUAUCCCUGGUAAUUGAUGGAGCAAAAGUCCAUAAUAAUUAUUAGAGUGGAAAAAAAUUGAGUUGUCCAUGUCAUGUCAGUUUUAUUGGUGCGACAUUUAUUUUUUUAGAGACGUGUGCAAAUUGUCAAGUGUUGUCAAUUUUGACUGUGAUUUAUCUUUGGUAAUUGAUGGAGUAAAAGUCCAUUAUAAUUAUCAGAGUGAAAAAAAAUUGAGUUGUCCAUGUCAUGUCAGUUUUACUGGUGCGACAUAUAUUUUUUAGAGACGUGUGCAAAUUGCCGAGUGUUGUCAAUUUUGAGUGUGAUUCAUCCCUGGUAAUUGAUGGAGCAGAAGUCCAUUGUAAUUAUCAAAGUGAAAAAAAUUGAGGUGUCCAUGUCAUGUCAGUUUUACUGAUGCAACAUAUAUUUUUUUAGAGACGUGUGUAAAUUGCUGAGUGUUGUCAAUUUUCAGUGUAAUUUAUCCCUGGUAAUUGAUGGAGCAGAAGUCCAUUGAAAUUAUCAGAGUGAAAAAAAAUUGAGUUGUCCAUGUCAUGUCAAUUUUACUAGUGCGACAUUUAUUUUUUUAGAGACGUGUACAAAUUGCCAAGAGUUGUCAAUUUCGACUGUGAUUUAUCCCUGGUAUUUGAUGCAGCAGAAGUCCAUUAUAAUUUCAGAGUAUAAAAAAUUGAUUUGUGCAAAUCGCAGAGUGUGUUACGAAUUAUUUUUUUUGGAUUUUUUUACGUUAUUACCAUAGAAAAAGUGCCCAAAUCAUAGUUUUUUUUUAUUUUGUGUUUGUAUUUUGAGGUAAUAUCCCAUGGAACUGGUGCACGAUAUAAUUUUUUUGGAUUCUUUGAUGUUCAAAACAUAGAAAAAGUGUGUCACGAAUAUCAUUAAUGUGUUUAACAUAAUUUGAAAAAAAUACAGAACAUGGGUACUUACGCAUAGUUGCAAGGGUCCAAAUCAUAGUUUUUUUUUAUUUUGUGCUUCUAUUUUGAGGUGUUAUUCCAUGGAACUGGUGCACGAUAUAAUUUUUUUUGGAUUCUUUGACGUUCAAACCAUGAAAAAACUGUGUCACGAAUAUCAUUAAAGUGUUGGACAUAAUUUGAAAAAAAGGCAGAACAUGGGCACUUAAGCAUAAUUGCAAGGGUCCAAAUCAUAUUUGAUGAUGCCGUUACAGGGGUACUUAAACAUAUUUGAUUCCAUUAUCACAACAUUUUAUACUUCAAUGACCAAGACGAUGACCAGUCCCACAAGGUGGUGGACGACGAUUACGUCGCAGAUUUCUUCUUUCCAGUAUGACUGGUUCUCCCACGUCAUGAUGAUGUUGUUGUUCUGUGUUAGUAUUUUCAAUGUUGGUUGUUGCAGUUGAAGAACUUUGACCUUGUUCUCCAAAUAAAUGUGGUGCAUCAAACUGUUGUAAAGUAGCUAAAUAUGAUGCCACUGAAUUUGGUGUAUUGAAAUCGACGCCAAAUAAAUCGGUCAUCCAUUCAUGGGUGGUUGCGGUGACUGACUCGCUAGUGUGGCCAAAAGUUUGAUGAACAGGUGAAGGAGUAGAAUACAUGGACCAAGGAUGUGGAAUUUCAAAAUGUGUUUGUUCAACACCUAGCCCUGUAACAUUAUGGGUAAUUGCUGUGCGUGGAUCAUGUAGUUGUUGUGCAACAGACAAGAACAAAGUAGUGUUUUUCCUAUACCAUUCCAUGUACACUGGUGUAUGUGUCACUAUUCCUUCAACCCAUUGUCCAGCUAAAACAUCACUACGUUUGUUUUUCCAGAUAUUAAUCCACUCCGCAUGGUAUUCCAUCCAAUCAAUGUAAUGAUUACCUCGCAUGUCAAUUUGGUGAAGUAGAUCAAGAUUCAUGGGAUCAAUAGGGAUAUCUUGUUGUAGUCCAAACUAUAGUUUCACCCGAUUUGUUUGAUGCCAUUCGACAAUCGAGAAACAAAUAAUUGCAGUACAUGCAGACCAAAUCUCCAUGUCUUUAUAUGCACGUCUGGGUAGGUGUUCUUCAAAUCCUCUAUAUGGGACCCAUGAAAACUGAAAUAUAUGCCAACAAGGCAACAUGUUAGUGUGUAUGUACAUAUUUAAGGUGUAGAUCAUGAUAGUAUUAUACCUCAUGGCUCUCCAUAUGAUCUAUAUGAGACCUAUAUCCGACCAAGUCACCAUGAAGUGUGGCCCUAUAUUCUAAUCUACCACCACUCCAUCUGAAAUGUAAAACAUACAAAAUCAGUAUUCGUUGUAAUGUUAUAAUACACGUCAUUGAAAUAAAAAAAUUUACAUUUCGCUAUAUGUAAAUAACCUUUUAGCCAGUGAAAAAGUUGUUUCGGGUCGUGGGACUCUUGGUGCAAUAAAAGGCAUGCGGUACCAAGCCCAUGACUGCAAUAGAAUGGCACAACCACCCAUAGCUUUACCAACCUCCAAUGAUGCUCGACAUAGUUCUCUAUACAGGUUUGCUAGACAAGCCGAACCCCAACUAUAUUUUUUUGUGUUGUUCAAAUCACGUAAUAAGUUCAAAUACAUUAAAUGAACUCUAUUUCUAGAUUUAUCAGGAAUUAAAGCACCGCCAAUCAUGUACAUUAUAUAAGCUCUACACUUGCAUUGUAGUUGGUGCGUUGUUGGUUCUUCAGGCAAUGGUGCGCGCAACAUGCUUAGCAACCAUGUCAGCUUCAGUGCAGCUCUUUUACGUGCAUUUUCAGGAGGGACUUCGCCUAGUAACUCGUGGCAUAACUUAUCCCAAUGUAAGAAGCUAGGUCCAACCACAACACGACCAUCGACUCUAAUGUCUAGUUGAAGUGCAACAUCUUCGAGUGUGAUGGUGCACUUUCCCCAUGGCAGGUGAAAGGUAUGUGUUUCAGGCCUCCAUCGUUCAACCAAUGCAGUGAUCAAUGCAGGAUCAAUUUUACACUGUUUGAUUAGUACAAUAUGUUGGAACCCGGUACACGAUAAUAAUGGUAUAAUUUAUGGUUCUGGUUCAAGUAUUGUAUGGUAAUAGGAAGUGAUUAAGUCAUUAAUCGUAGUACGUGAACGAUGAACAUGUUAAUGAUGCAAUAGAGGUUUAUGAUCCAUGAGAAUGAUGUCAAAUGGUAAACCGAAUACAAAUGAUAUAAAAUUUGAAGUUGGGCGAUGCAAAUGUGGUAUUGACAUGCACCUCCCAUUUAUUUAUCGUUUAAACUGUGUUCAGUUUUGCAAGCACAAAUACACUUAAGGUAACUGUAAUGCCUCGAGAUUCCAAAGCACGUUAACACGAAUGUGGUAUUGUGACGCAUCGAGAUUCUAAUUCACGUGAAUCAAUGACAUUUUCAUGCACACUAUUCACCUGUAUGCGUAUGUUAACUGCAUUAACUUGGUUCUCAAUAAUUCGCAUGUCCUCAACAUUACACUUAAUGUAACUAUAAUGUCUCGAGAUUCCAAAGCACAUUUAUAAUUUGUCUCGUUGUAAGGCCUCGAGAUUUCAAAGCACGUUAACACGACUGUGGUACUGUGACGCAUCGAGACUCUAAUGCACGUGAACCAAUGACAUUUUUGUGCACAUUGUUCACCUGCAUGCGUACGUUAACCGCAUUAACUUUGUUCUCAACAAUUCGCAUGGCCUCAACAUUACACUUAAUGUAACUGUAAUGCCUCGAGAUUCCAAAGCACAUUUAUAAUUUGUCUCGUUGUAAGGCCUCGAGAUUCCAAAGCAUGUUAACAUAACUGUGGUACUGUGAUGCAUCGAGAUUCUAAUUCAUGUGAACCAUGGACCCAUGAUUGAUUGCAUAUAUAAACGUACCAUGUCACCCAACACUUUGCACAGUUGCAUCAAAUCAAGUUGUGAGAGAAAACAGAGAGGGCAAGCAUUGAGGUCAGAGCCUAUUUGUGCGUACGUUUAUAUCAAUGGUGAAAUCAUUCAAAGUUCAAGUGCAAAUGCAAUUUUUAGAGGUGACAAGACAAAUUCGUUACUCUUGAAUCCAACAAUGAUGCUGCCAAAUAUAAUCACCACAAUACAGUCAUCAAUUACAGAUAAUGGUGUUACACCUAUAAUUAAUGCCCUUUGGUAUCGUUGUCCGGUAUAUGAAUUCAAUGGUGAAGUUCAAUAUAGGGCAAUUCAAAUUAUUGACGAAGAAGGUGUUUUGUGCAUGUUUCAUACAUUUGUCAAUAUGACAAGUGUAAUAUGUAUGAAACUUAAAGUUGAUGUUUAUAAUUCAUUAUCACCUACUCAAGUCUACGACCUAAGUUGGGCCGACAUGGAGCAGAAGCUAGACAAUUCCCUGAAAUUAGAAUGAAUAAUUUAACAUAUUCUAUUGUUGUAUUGCGUUGAAGUUUUUCUCAGUCUUUAUUAUGUAGUUGUAGUUGUAGUUGUAGUUGUUGCUUGCUUGGAAGUUGUUAUUUUCGAUUUACUUCAGUAAUAAUAGUCUACACAUGCAUGAUUUUAGAGAUGUGGAGAAAUGUCUCACCUAAUCCUCACAUGCACCGACAACCCCAUUAAAGUGUGGUGUUGCACACUGUUCACUCGCAUGCGUACGUUUAUCCCAUUAACAUGUUUUUGAACAAUCCGUGUGACCUUGGCAUGCGAUGCAGAACACUACGGUCAACAAUCAUCAUGAAACGAACAGUCUGUCAAGUAUAUUAAUGUGUUUGGUUGCACACUGUUCACUCACAUGUGAACACUGUUCCGCAAUUGCACACUAUUUACUCACACGCACUGAAUGUCCUACCUAACCCUCCCACCUAAUCCUCGUAACUAACUUUGUUGUCUAACCCUCCCACCUAACUUUCUGAUCUAACUCUCUUACCUAACCUUCCAAUCUAACUCUCCCACCAAACCCUCCCACCUAACCCUAAUAACUAACUUUGCCACCUAAUUCUCCCAUCUAACCCUCGUAACUAACUUUGUCACCUAACUCUCCAACCUAAACUUCCAAUCUAACUCUCCCACCUAACAUUCCAAUCUAACUCUGGUACUAAACUUUCUCAGCUUAUAUAUAGUAUCACCAUUUGACAACAACAUAUCACACACAACAACUUUCUCACAAAACAAAACUCAAUUUGUAACUCUCACACCAUUUCCACUCAUAUCCCAUAAGCACCACCAUGGCUCCUCCUAAAGAAAUUGUGACCAUCAUUUACCAAAAUGGUCACAUUGUAGACAACCUAGUUCAAGGAUCGAUGUACACAUCUGCAAACCCAAUAUUUUUUUACAUCAAUCGUUCUAUUACGUUUACACAAUUCAUUCAAAAAAUUAACAAUCGUCUCCCUGCUCGAGCAACUGAACAAGUUGCUCAAUUGUUAUUUCGUAUCCCUAUUUCAUUUCAUCUCGGUCAGACACAUUUUAUUUCAGCUCAACUAUUCGACAAUGAUGAUCUCAGAGGAGCGAUCGAAACAAUUUUCCAUAAUCCACAAUUGAAUUUUGCCGAAUUCUAUGUUGUUACUGACCUUAUUCAUCAACCACACCCAUUGUCUCCACAACCCUCAAGUCCACAACUACAAGUACCGCCUCCACAACAAUUACCGUACAACAACAUAGACCUCAAUAAUCCAGUAUCUUCAUACAACAACCUUGAAUCAUAAGACCCCUUUGACAUUUAUACUUCAUACACACAACUAUUAUCCGAAAACAAUUCUUUUUUUCAUGGCCAACAAACUUCCUUUGACCAACAAACCAUCAUUCAUCCCCCUUUACGCCACCUUCACAACUACCACAAUCACAAACAUCAAACAGAGAUGAACAUCCCAUUGUUAACGAAGAUCCCAUUAUACGAUUUCAUGAUGAAAACAUGAAUGAUUUUAGUGAGGAUGAGGAUCAACAGUUCUUUGAUCACAUCAAUCACCAAAGCGAUGACCA
rnacentral:lncRNA from 1 species